rnacentral:rRNA from 1 species
UACGAACUGUGCAAACGUUGUUCGGAAUUACUGGGCGUAAAGCGCACGUAGGCGGAUAUUUAAGUCAGGGGUGAAAUCCCAGAGCUCAACUCUGGAACUGCCUUUGAUACUGGGUAUCUUGAGUAUGGAAGAGGUAAGUGGAAUUCCGAGUGUAGAGGUGAAAUUCGUAGAUAUUCGGAGGAACACCAGUGGCGAAGGCGGCUUACUGGCCCGAUACUGACGCUGAGGUGCGAAAGCGUGGGGAGCAAACAGG